GUAGGGUGCAAGCGUUAAUCGGAAUUACUGGGCGUAAAGCGUGCGCAGGCGGCUUUGCAAGACAGAUGUGAAAUCCCCGGGCUCAACCUGGGAACUGCAUUUGUGACUGCAUGGCUAGAGUGCGGCAGAGGGGGAUGGAAUUCCGCGUGUAGCAGUGAAAUGCGUAGAUAUGCGGAGGAACACCGAUGGCGAAGGCAAUCCCCUGGGCCUGCACUGACGCUCAUGCACGAAAGCGUGGGGAGCAAACAGGAUUAGAUACCCUGGUAGUCCACGCCCUAAACGAUGUCAACUGGUUGUUGGACGGCUUGCUGUUCAGUAACGAAGCUAACGCGUGAAGUUGACCGCCUGGGGAGUACGGCCGCAAGGUUG
rnacentral:rRNA from 1 species